GGCUCCCCACGAAGAGGCAGCUGCAGAACACAGAAGAGCCAGCAUCAGCUCCUCAGCCACCUGGGCCAUGGCGAGCCUUCCAACAAGCAAGAGCUCCCCUUUAGCAUGGCGACUCUUUUGUUGCAUCAGAAAAUCAAAGGACUGAGAGAGAUGGAACUCUUGCUUUCAGCUUUGUGGUGCCUAUACCUGGAACAAGACACAUGUCCCCCUUCUCUGUGAUGCUUACACCCUAAUGGUUCAGAUUCUAUGUAUUUAUCUGACAUGGAGAAAGCGAGUGAGAGUGCACAAUCGGGAGGGAGAAGCAGAUUCCCCACUGAGCAGGGAGCACGCCACAGGAAUUGAUCCCAGGACUCUGGGAUCAUGACCUGAGCCGAAGGCAGACGCUGGACAGACUGAGCCACCCAGGCACCUGGACAUUAUCUUUCACAUACGGAACAGCGAAGCAUCUGGAAGUGAUUUUUUAGGGAUGCUCUAAGAGAAGCAUCAGGAUUAAUUUUUUCUAUCAAAAUUUACUGAAAAUUUUAUUAAUCUCCCAACUCCCUUGCCUGCCAUGUCACCUUUAUCAUAAAUUAAAUGAUUG